rnacentral:lncRNA from 1 species
GGCUGUCUGCUGUCUGGUAGGAGGGCUUUGUCUGUGCCUUUCUCUCUCUGUUUCUUUCUGUUUUUCUUUCUCUCUCUCUCUCCUCUUCUCUCUCUCUCCCACUCGCUUGCUCUGUCUCUGUCUCUCUCUCCCUCUCUGCCCCCCCUCUCCCUCCCUCUCUCUUGCUCUCUCUCUCUCUUCCCGUCUCUGUGGUUUGUAAGGUAGGUUGCAGUGUGUGUAUAUACACAACAUCAAGAGCAGGAAAAUGGACUCAUUAGGGAGGCAGGCAGUCAUUACCACUCACACUGUACUUCCAGGGAGACACCGAUUAUGAGAAGAGAAACUCAGCGCUGGGGAAGAAGGGGCUAAAACCAUGAGUAAACGACUGAAAAAAAAGAAAAUGAAUCCACAAGCAUAAGGAAGAGGAAGCAAUAGAUGAAAGAAAUAUAAUUUUUGGAAGAUGUAAAGGAUGUAAAGGAUGGAGGAAUUCACAGAACUGAGAAAGCUAAAUACAAGUGCCUGGAGUGUGUUGUGCCAGUGAGAAAGCAAGCCAGUUCAUGCUCAAGAUCUGGCUCAAAAAUUGGAGGCAGCACUUCCUGUGGAAGACAAUAGCUGAAGUAAAAAUAAAUUAUAAUUAGUAUACUCAGAGAGAUAGGAGAAGAUAGUACUCCCAUGAAAUAUGACAGGAUGAUAUAAAAAAGGAAUAAUCAGAGAAUAAACAUUCAUAAUAGCUGAAAUAACUUUAAUAGAAGGAUUGAAAUUUUUCUGAAAAUAGAGCAAAAGGUCAAAUAAGUGGAAAAUAGGAAAGAAAAGAUAAAAGCAAACAGUCUAACAAGCCAAAAAUUUGAUUAAUAGGAGUAAACCGGGAAGAGAAAAGAAAAUGAUAGGGAAGAGAUUAUCAUAAAAUUCUAUAGUAAAAACUUUCAUAACUGAAGGACAUGAGCUUCCAGUUUGAAAGGGUCUACUGGGUGCCCAUAAAAAGUGUAAAGCAGAUCUAUAUCAAAGUACAUAACUGGAAAAUUUCAGAACACCAGCAAUAUAUAAUGAAAUAGAAGCUUCUAGAGAGAAAAUAUAAACCCUACAUGCACAUUGCCUCUAGAAUCAGAAUGAUGUCUGAUCUCUUAAUGGCAACAUUCAAAGCUAGAAAAUGUGGCUUUAAAAUUCUGAGGGAAAAUUACUUUUAACUUGUAGUUCCAAACUGUUGAUCAGGCAUGAGGAUAUUUUUAGAAAAAAGACAUUUUUAGACAUUUUAGACAUUUUUAGACACAUGAUCCUCUAAAUUUCCCUUUCAUUGUUGCUUUCUGAAGAAUCUUUUGGGGGAUGUGCUACGUAUAAGUCAGGAGAAACUGAGGAGAAAAGAAGAAGUUAGAGGAAUCAGGAAAUAAGUGAUGAGAAUGAUACAUGAAAGGUGAAGGGAAGUUCCUGGACAAUAGUUGGGCUUAAGAAUAACCUGUCUUUAGUUGAACAGGAAGAUGGAAAACUCCAGAAAGAGAUGUGUUCAGAAGGAAGAAUUGGAAUUGAUGGAAUGCUCCAUGUUUAAGAGUGUGAAAUAUUAUAUACAGAGAGGUUUUACAUUCUAUUGCAGAGCUGGAACGGGGGGCAAAAGUGGCAAUAUUGACUGUAGUAAGAAAAAUUGUUGCUCAAGGAAGGAAAUGUAUUAAAAAUUUACUAAUUGACUGAAUAUUGGGAGGAUGAAAGGAAAGGAAAUGGAUGAUAUAAGAGAGCUAAUCUUCAUCUUCCGUAAUAGGGAAUUUGUAGAUUAUGUCUAUAAUUUACAAAUCAAAAUAAGAAUAUAUGCAUAUUAUUUAGAGAUGAGAUAAGCACUAGAAAGAAUUUGACACGGUGUCUCAAAGGUUGGGAUAUGCGCUGCUGUUUUUUUAAUAUAAAUAUUGUGGUACUAUUUAACUAGUACACAAUAUACAUAUAUUACUUUGAAAACAAGAGAAGUGAUAGCUUCAAAAUUCUAACAGAUUAGGAAUACAAGUAUUUUGGAUUUUGAUUUUUCAGAUAGAAGCUUAACUCUUGAUGAAGUGUACAUAUUUUAGUUAUCUAGGAGGAAUUAAAUGGUUGAUACCCUGGCAUUGCUGAAAUGUGGAUAUUCUGUCUCUUGAGAGUAAAUAUUAUUUGGAGGGGUUUCCUCUUAUCCCUAUAAGGUAUACAUGUUGUUUUCAUGGUAGAAGGUAUGGUGAGAAAUCUAAAAGUUGUGCUACAAUUUUCAGAUUUUAAAUAUGUGUUCAAAAUAAAAGAAAGUCGUUAACUACUCAUGAAUAAGGAGAAAUAGAAACCAGGAGUAAACUUUCAUUUGAUUUGGUAGGUAUAGUUUUAUAAGACAAAUUAAACGUAGUUCAUUUGUUAAACAAAGAAUAGCUUUCCCUCGUUCCAAAUGAUGUCUAAAUACUUAAGAUUUUUUCCUAUCGAAAACUUCACAUGGCUAGUUCAUGCAUUCUCAGGGAAUGCUUUUAACUGUUCACUGACUCAUUACCUAUUCAUCUAUGGCUAAUGUAAAACCACUUUUGUUGUGGUUUACAAAAAUAUGGAGGUUAUGUGAUUCAGUGCAUACAGUUCAGAAUUUAGAUUAUCUUUCGAUAAUCAAAAACAUGCUUUGCCAAAAAAUCCAGUAUGAGUGUGCUCAAAAUAUCAAGUGCCUUUUGAAGUUUUUAAAUAAAAAACUCCAACAACAAAAACCUAACAACAAAUCAACAAAAAACCCCAAGAACAUGUCUUAUAAACAAAAGUGUUUCGCAGCCAUCCGUAAACCUCCUUGAGAAAACUUUUAGCACAUAAGAGAGGCAGAGACAGAGACCUAGUUAGAAAAGGAGGAAAUUUCUCUUUGAGUUCUUUUUUUAAACCAAGGACAUUUGGUUUUGAGAGGAGAAGGAGGAGAGAAGAAAUGAAGAAAGCACGUGAUUUGUCUCAAAGAUUUAUUUUGUAAUUGAUUGUAACUUAUAAAGGUUGUCAUUGAUAGUUGUAUGGGAGGGAGAAUUCUAAGUUUCAAUGCUGACACUUUGAAGAGUUGCCCUGUUGUUGCAGCUGCUUGGGCAGCCUUGCUCAAACAUCAAUGGUGCAUUGUGGCAGCUUGCUCUGCUUCCCUGUUUCUGAUGGACGUUCUCCAGGCAGUGAAGGGCAAAGGGGCUGGCAAUGCUGGUAACUGGCAUAAUAGAAGUUGUUGGACCAGUUUGGAGAGUAUGUGUGUGAACUGAACUCUUAAUGACAGAUUCUGUAUUAUGGUCAGUGUAAGUUCAGGGUCAGAAAGUACUUUCUGGUCAAUUAAUAGAGUUGGGAAUAUGUAUUUUCAUGUUGUCUCUCUGUGGCAUAGAGUACAUAUUAUUUAGAUUUCCUAAAGUAGUUGGUAAAAGGGACUAAUGUUUAUGGACUGAAAAAAAAUUGGUAUAUACUCAGAUAUAACUACACUGAAAUAUUUCAUCAUAAAAUAAAUAAUUGACUUUUACUGUUCAUAA